UGCAGUUCUCAAUAUUGUUGACUGGAAUAUUUGGCUGUUGUUGCUUUGUUGAUUCGGUACUGUUGUCUCUACCGUGAAGGUGAUCAGAUUUUAUGCAAAAAAAUUUCCAUACAAGUUUGCUGGCACUGUUCCUGUGGAUAUCAUUUGUUAUUAUUUUGGUGUCGUGUUCCUCAUCAGAUCUUAGGAACAGUAGCCUGUCAAGUCUUUUAACUGGUUUGGAUUCAGGUAUGGGUCCGAAGAAAUGGACAAGAACAAAAAGACUGUUAGAAGACAGUUAUUGUCAAAAUCGUAAUAAUGGAAGGGAAAUGCAAGCAAUUCCUAUUUCUGAUAGUGCUGAAGAGCAGGAAAGUCAUUUUACCAGAUCAAGCCGUGGCACAUAUUCGAAGACAAAAUGGACAAGAACAAAAACAUUGUUAGAAGACAGUCAUUCUCAAAACGAUAAUGAUGAAAUAGAAAUGCAAGGAAUUCCUGUUUGUGAUAGCAGUGAAGAACAUGAAGUUCAUUUUAGCAGAUCAAGCCGUGGCAUUCAGUUGGUGAUGUCAGAAGAGAAUCAAUGUUUAAAACAUCAGCAGAAUUCCGAAAGUUAUAGCACUACCAAAUUUAACCAUACUCCCAAGUGAUUCAGAACUAGGGAACAAAGCUCAGAUGCAAUUGCUAAUUCAAGUUUGUCAGCUAAUAGAAUCUCAAAUAUGGAGAAUCCAAGAACAUCACAAGUUUUACAAAGCUCCAGCAAUUCUGAAUUUGUAGAAACUGAUGAAAUUAGAGGUGAAGGUUUACAUCUAUUUGGUCAAGCUUCAUACCAAAGAAGAUCUACAAUCAGAUAUGAGGAUUCAGGAGAUGAUAUCCACACAUGUAAUUAUUGCAACGCAUGUUUCUGGUUUGGAGAAGCGAAUAAACAAUCGUCCUCAAGUGCGCCUCUAAUCUAUACAAAUUGUUGCAAAAAAGGUCAAAUCAAGCUUGAACCAUCAAAAUCAACACCAGAAUUUCUUGAAAGAUUAUUGGAUCCGAAUAGUAGUUCUGAAAGCAGACUUUUUAGAGAGAAUAUCAGGAUUUACAACUCGAUGUUUUCUUUUACAUCAAUGGGAGCAACAAUUGAUCAAAAAAUAAAUACUGGAUCAGGUCCUUAUGUUUUUAAAUUUAACGGUCAAGUACAUCAUUUAAUGGGUUCUAUAUUACCUUCUGAUGGGGAAAGUCCUAAAUACGCUCAAUUAUACAUAUAUGAUACAAAAAAUGAAGUUUUAAACCGUCUUAAUGCUAUUGAUCCUACUCAUACGAAUACAAAUAUCAAACUAGAUAUUGUUGAAGGACUU